CAUCAGUUUAGUUUCGUUUAUCAGAGCGGAGGAGAUCAGAUCAGAUUCUCAGUAAACCGAAACUCUCUGCUCCUUUAUCUGCCUCUCCUCCAGUUCUCCUCCUCCACUGCUUCUUCUCCUCCUCCAGCCUGAGAGAGAGGAGAGCUGCUCUCAGCAUCUGCAGAUCAUGAGAACCAUCUUUACCAUUCCACCUCCACUCUAAACUACUAUACAUCUAUAAAAAGGAGAACAUACAAGUGGAACAAUGAGUCUUCCGGCAAGAAAAAGGAAGAAAAAAAAUGCAUUUGGAGCAACAUCGCCACCUUUUAUCGACUACCUGAAGGAGAUUUUGAGAAGGUACCCUGAUGGAGGA